GUUGGAAAAGAUGUUUAGCUCCCACUUUAAGUAAACCUUAGUUCCCAGGUUAUCUACAACAUGGAUUAAAAUGCUGAUAAAUUCAA